rnacentral:rRNA from 1 species
CUAUACAUGCAGUCGAGCGCGGGAAGCCGGCGGACUCCUUCGGGAGGAAACCGGUGGAACGAGCGGCGGACGGGUGAGUAACACGUGGGCAACCUGCCGGACUGAUGGGAAUAACCCCGGGAAACCGGGGCUAAUGCCCAAUACGCCCUGACCUCGCCUGAGGUCAGCGGCAAAGCAGGGAUCUUCGGAUCCUUGCACAGUCCGAUGGGCCCGCGGCGCAUUAGCUAGUUGGAGAGGUAAGGGCUCCCCAAGGCGACGAUGCGUAGCCGACCUGAGAGGGUGAUCGGCCACACUGGGACUGAGACACGGCCCAGACUCCUACGGGAGGCAGCAGUAGGGAAUCAUCCGCAAUGGGCGAAAGCCUGACGGUGCAACGCCGCGUGAGUGAUGAAGGUUUUCGGAUCGUAAAGCUCUGUUGACAGGGAAGAACCCACGCCAGUCGAACAGGCUGGCGUGCUGACGGUACCUGUCCAGAAAGCCCCGGCUAACUACGUGCCAGCAGCCGCGGUAAUACGUAGGGGGCAAGCGUUGUCCGGAAUUAUUGGGCGUAAAGGGCACGCAGGCGGUUUCGUCAGUCCGAUGUGACAGGCCACGGCUCAACCGUGGAAGGCCAUUGGAAACUGCGAAACUUGAGGACAGAAGAGGAGAGUGGAAUUCCACGUGUAGCGGUGAAAUGCGUAGAUAUGUGGAGGAACACCAGUGGCGAAGGCGACUCUCUGGUCUGUACCUGACGCUGAGGUGCGAAAGCAUGGGGAGCAAACAGGAUUAGAUUACCCUGGUAGUCCAUGCCGUAAACGCUGAGUGCUAGGGUGUUAGGGGGUUUCGAUACCCGGUAAUGGCCGAAGCUAACGCAUUAAAGCACUCCCGCCUGGGGGAGUACGACCCGCAAGGGUUGAAACUCCAAGGGAAUUUGACGGGGGGCCCUGCACAAGGCGGU